CGUGUAGGCGGUAACAUAAGUCUGGUGUGAAAGACUCCGGCUCAACCGGAGGAACGCGCUGGAAACUGUGUUGCUAGAGUAGUGGAGGGGAAACUGGAAUUCCUGGUGUAGGGGUGAAAUCUGUAGAGAUCAGGAAGAACACCGGAGGCGAAGGCGAGUUUCUGGCCAUUUACUGACGCUGAGGCGCGAAAGCGUGGGGAGCGAACAGGAUUAGAUACCCUGGUAGUCC
rnacentral:rRNA from 1 species